UUGUAAACCAAAGCCGGAUAUUCCUUAGAGCA
rnacentral:tRNA from 3 species